CGCAGGCCCUGGGCUACAGCAACCUUACCAGCCCCUCCAGCUUAGAGGUGGCAGUGGCUCUCUGCGGCUGCGAUUUCUUUCUCGGAGCGUCCUCCCCAUCCCGUUCGGCCUCUGCCUCCACCGUCGUCUCUGUAACCCGUUCCCUGUGGGAGAGUCUCUGUUGCGGUGUUCAGGGGUUUCGGUUUUCUGGCUGAACAGUGAUUAACGCGAGGGAAGGCGCUGACGGCAAGGUGGCAGGAAGAACAUUCCAACACAGACCACAACACCUAUGGACCUGGAAAACAUUGUGCUCAGUGAAAGAAGCCAGACACAGAAGGACAAUGUUGUAUGAGGUACCUGGGAUGGGCAGAUUCUGAGAGAUGGAAAAUAGAAUAGAGAUUACCUGGAGAGAGGGGGGAAUUGUUGAAUGAGGACAGAGUUUGUGUUGGGGAUGAUGGAAAAGUUUUGGAUACAGAGAGUUAUGACGAGUAUACAGCAUUGUGAAUUUUUUUUCUUUUCUUUGUUUUUUGUGACAAGGUCUUAUUCUGUUGCCCAGGCUGGACUGCAGUGGUGCAAUCCUAGCUCACUGCAGCUUCGACCUCCCGUGCUCAAGUGAUUUUCCCACCUCAGCCUCCCGAGUAGCUGGGACUACAGGUGCGUGCCACCACGCCUGGCUGAUUUUUCUUGUAUUUUUUUGUAGAGAUGGGGGUAUCGCUAUGUUGCCCAGGCUGGUCUUGAACACUUGGGCUCAAGUAAUUCUCCCGCCUUGGCCUCCCAAAGUGCUGGGAUUACAGGUGUGAGCCACUGUGCCUAGUGUGAAUGCAUUUAAUGCCACUGAAUUGUACACUUAAUAAUGGUGAAAAAUAUAAAUAUUCUGUUAAAUAUUUUACCACAAUAAAAAAAUGUGUGACAGGACACAUUCCAGCAAAAAGACACAAAGUGACAGAAUGGCUGCCUUUGAGUGGGGGUGAGAAGAGGUGGAUGGCAGGUACCAGAAGAGAAGGGAAUAAAUAUAUGAAGAAAUACAACCCCCUCGGGCAGUGCCUGGCACAGCAUAAAUGCCCAGGAAAAAGAGGCCCAGUUGCUUACGUUCCCGGCGACAGGGCCGGGACCAGCGCCGGCUUCCUGGUGAAGGAGGCCACCCUUUCCUCUUGAGGGGUCUGAGUAUGCAUGUCAGCACCCGGUGGGCACCCAGCACCCAGCUGACCAGGGGCCUUCACCUCUGUGGGGGUUACCGGCCUGGCCCUGAGAACUGGAUGAAAGCUGGAAUAAUUCUUUCUGUAAUAAAGCAAACGCA
rnacentral:lncRNA from 10 species